AACGAACGCUGGCGGCAUGCCUAACACAUGCAAGUCGAACGAGACCUUCGGGUCUAGUGGCGCACGGGUGCGUAACGCGUGGGAACCUGCCCUUAGGUUCGGAAUAACUCCCCGAAAGGGGUGCUAACACCGGAUAAUGUCUUCGGACCAAAGAUUUAUCGCCUUUGGAUGGGCCCGCGUUGGAUUAGCUAGUUGGUAGGGUAAAAGCCUACCAAGGCGACGAUCCAUAGCUGGUCUGAGAGGAUGAUCAGCCACACUGGGACUGAGACACGGCCCAGACUCCUACGGGAAGCAGCAGUGGGGAAUAUUGGACAAUGGGCGAAAGCCUGAUCCAGCAAUGCCGCGUGAGUGAUGAAGGCCUUAGGGUUGUAAAGCUCUUUUACCCGGGAUGAUAAUGACAGUACCGGGAGAAUAAGCUCCGGCUAACUCCGUG
rnacentral:rRNA from 1 species